rnacentral:tRNA from 1 species
GGAGAGAUGGCUCAGUGGUUAAGGACACUGACUGCUCUUCCAGAGGUCCUGAGUUCAAUUUCCAGCAUCUACG